rnacentral:rRNA from 1 species
ACGGGUGAGUAAUGCCUAGGAAUCUGCCUGGUAGUGGGGGACAACGUUUCGAAAGGAACGCUAAUACCGCAUACGUCCUACGGGAGAAAGCAGGGGACCUUCGGGCCUUGCGCUAUCAGAUGAGCCUAGGUCGGAUUAGCUAGUAGGUGAGGUAAUGGCUCACCUAGGCGACGAUCCGUAACUGGUCUGAGAGGAUGAUCAGUCACACUGGAACUGAGACACGGUCCAGACUCCUACGGGAGGCAGCAGUGGGGAAUAUUGGACAAUGGGCGAAAGCCUGAUCCAGCCAUGCCGCGUGUGUGAAGAAGGUCUUCGGAUUGUAAAGCACUUUAAGUUGGGAGGAAGGGCAGUAAGUUAAUACCUUGCUGUUUUGACGUUACCGACAGAAUAAGCACCGGCUAACUCUGUGCCAGCAGCCGCGGUAAUACAGAGGGUGCAAGCGUUAAUCGGAAUUACUGGGCGUAAAGCGCGCGUAGGUGGUUCGUUAAGUUGGAUGUGAAAGCCCCGGGCUCAACCUGGGAACUGCAUCCAAAACUGGCGAGCUAGAGUAUGGUAGAGGGUGGUGGGAAUUUCCUGUGUAGCGGUG